AGCAGCCGCGGUAAUUCCAGCUCCAAUAGCGUAUAUUAAAGUUGUUGCAGUUAAAAAGCUCGUAGUUGAAUUUCGGGAUUAGUAGAUUGGUCAUGCCUCCGGUAUGUACUGGUCUUACUGGUUCCUCCUUCCUGAUGAACCGUAAUGCCAUUAAUUUGGUGUUGCGGGGAGACUGGACUGUUACUUUGAAAAAAUUAGAGUGUUUAAAGCAGGCUAACGCUUGAAUACAUUAGCAUGGAAUAAUGAAAUAGGACGUUCGAUCCUAUUUUGUUGGUUUCUAGGAUUGACGUAAUGAUUAAUAGGGAUAGUUCGGGGGCAUUAGUAUUCAAUUGUCAGAGGUGAAAUUCUUGGAUUUAUUGAAGACUAACUACUGCGAAAGCAUUUGCCAAGGAUGUUUUCAUUAAUCAAGAACGAAAGUUAGGGGAUCGAAGACGAUCAGAUACCGUCGUAGUCUUAACCAUAAACUAUGCCGACUAGGGAUCGGAUGAUGUUAAUUUUUUAAUGACUCA
rnacentral:rRNA from 1 species